rnacentral:lncRNA from 1 species
AUCCGGAUCGGAAUCGGGUGAAUCGGUCAGAAUAAAACUUCAAAAAAAUCCGAAAAAAUUAUUAAAAUUCAUUAUAAAUAUUGGUUUUUAGGAAUUCAAUAAAAAAUGAGGGUACUCCAUUAAGAAUUUUCAUGUUUUUGAAUGAAUAUGCAAAUAUUGAUAUGUUCUUUCCCUGCAUGAACCGCCGUUCAGCAUUUAAUUUACAGUAUUUCGUGCUCAUCCCUACACUGUUGCUGUUGGGACUCGAUAUGUGAAUAAUAUGGUUGGGAUAGGGUGGCCUCGGAAUCA